rnacentral:rRNA from 1 species
UACGGGGGGGGCAAGCGUUGUUCGGAAUUACUGGGCGUAAAGGGCUCGUAGGUGGCCAACUAAGUCAGACGUGAAAUCCCUCAGCUUAACUGGGGAACUGCGUCUGAUACUGGAUGGCUUGAGAUUGGGAGAGGGAUGCGGAAUUCCAGGUGUAGCGGUGAAAUGCGCAGAUAUCAGGAAGAACACCAAUGGCGAAAGCAGCUUUCUGGGACGGUACUGACGCUGAGACGCGAAAGCGUGGGGAGCGAACAGG